rnacentral:rRNA from 1 species
UACGGAGGGUGCAAACGUUGCUCGGAAUCAUUGGGCGUAAAGCGCACGUAGGCGGCCUGUUAAGUCGGGUGUGAAAACCCGGAGCUCAACUCCGGGCCUGCAGUCGAUACGGGCAGACUGGAGUUCGGCAGGGGGAGACUGGAAUUCCUGGUGUAGCGGUGAAAUGACGCAGAUAUCAGGAGGAACACCGGUGGCGAAGACGGGUCUCUGGGCCGAUACUGACGCUGAGGAGCGAAAGCGUGGGGAGCGAACAGG